rnacentral:rRNA from 1 species
GACAGAGGGUGCAAACGUUGUUCGGAAUUACUGGGCGUAAAGCGCGUGUAGGCGGCUAAGUAAGUCGGGCGUGAAAUCCCACGGCUCAACCGUGGAAGUGCACUCGAAACUGCAUAGCUAGAGUCCUGGAGAGGAAGGUGGAAUGCUUGGUGUAGAGGUGAAAUUCGUAGAUAUCAAGCGGAACACCGGUGGCGGAGGCGGCCUUCUGGACAGUGACUGACGCUGAGACGCGAAAGCGUGGGGAGCAAACAGG